AGACAUCGAGACCAGCCGCAAAUUAUUUUAGGGUUUGGUGUUUCUUCCACAAUGAAUCGAAGUCUUUUUCUUCUUCGAUCUCUGUAAGGCUGUGUCUAUAUUCCUCUAAAAUGGCUAAUUCAUCAAUCCUUUUUCAGAAUAGAAGUCAGCCCUAUGUUUUUCAACCGUGGAGGUGAGAUUGACAGAAACGUCAAACGCGGUGGAAAGACUUUCUGUCACCGGCUGAUCCGGAAAUCAAGUGAUUGAAUCACGAGCAGGGAGAGAUAGGUUUGGGUUUGAUCUUGGACUCAACGAAGGAUGAUGAACCAGAUCCAUAUACUCGCGGAUAUGGAAGUGAAUAGAUCCUAAAGGUAUUGUUUUGGCUGGUGUUGUUAUUGCAGUUGCUUUGUCGCUGACAAAGAAGAAAAGAAGGAAGGAGCAGAAGAAGAGUAUUGUUAAUGGUAAGAAGAGUCCGUACACAAGGCUAGGUUGCCGUGGCGAUUGGCCCAAUAUAAAACCGUGGGGAUGGGAUCCGUCGUCUGACACCGGAGCUCAUCCAAGCUUCUCAUAUGUAUUCUUAAAACAAUGCUCUUUUGUUCUCUUUUCUAUAAAACCCAGCAACAAGCGUUAUAAAGAGUUAUCACUUUCAUGUCAUUGAUAAUUUCUGUACAAGACGUAUAUUUGAUGAUUUAAGUUUUGACUCUUUGAGUAAAGUCAGGUCUGAUGUAUAACAAAGAACGGAAGCUGUAGAUCAAUAAAAAAAAAAUCAAAUUGAGAAAAUAUCAAGAAAAUGGA